GAUGAAGAUUGUUUUGCCAUUAAAAAGCAUAGGGGAAAACUUCCAAGUGGAAUUUACAAUGUACGUCUCUGGAAUACAAGUCGAGUUAUACCUGUGCACUGUGACUUUGAUACAGAUACGGGAGGAUGGACGGUGUUUCAAUAUCGAUUCAACGGCAGCGUUGAUUUCUACAGAAACUUUAGUGAUUAUGAAAAAGGAUUUGGUUCUUUAGACGGCGAAUUUUGGUUAGGCCUUGAAAACAUAUAUGAAAUGGUUUCCCGAGGAAAAAAACAGAGUUGAGGAUGGAUUUGACGGCAGCUGACGGAACAUCUGCAUACGAAACAUUUCAGAACUUUAAACUCGGUGAAAGGCCGUUUUAUACUCUUCAUAUCGACAAGGGAGUCGGAACUGCAGGCGAUACACUUGGUUUAUCAUAUCACAAUGGUAGAAAUUUUUCAACUUUCGACAUGGGCCAUAAAAUCUAUUGCGCUAUAUCGGACCAUGGUGGAUGGUGGUAUGGUGGUUGUGCUCACGCAAAUUUAAACGGUGAAUAUGUUACUCCUGGUACAAGACGACCUUUCAAUACGGAAGGUGGGAUGAUAUACAGAUCAUUUAAAGGCACAGAAUCACUCAAAGUCUCCAAAAUGAUGUUCCGGCGGGUAUAAAUGCAUCCUGAUCCGAUUUCUUAAGGAAAAAACAAAUAAUAUAUUAUUUUCAAACCACUUAUUGUUUCUAUGUAAGUGACAUGUAAAACGUUAUUUUAGGGCAAUAUUUAACAGCUGUUCCUUAAGAAAAUUGUAUAUAAGUCUAGAUACUCGAUGUGCACAAUGAAACAAAACAUAUUAAGUAUGCUUCCUUGUUAUAUUAGAACUUGUUGUGAAACUUUUUUCCCGCUUUUUUUUCAAGCAAUUUUGAUUGUGCUUAGAAUAGAUGGAUAUCGGCGUAUUGUAUAUUUGUGAUAUGUUUAUCAGGCUUUUUAAAAAACCUGUCAAAUUAGGUUGUUUAAAAAGAACGGGAAAAAUCAGAAGGCCUUAAAAAUUAUCAAUAACAACCUGCUUAUAAAAGCAAACAUUAUUAUGCUAUUUAAAUAUAUUG